ACUCGUCCAGGAUGAAAUAGGCCUUCUCAAAGUUGAAGAUGAUGUCGAGCUCGCACACCUGCCCCGGGGACGAGGCGGGCAUAAGUCGGCCCGGGAGCCAGCCCUGGACCCCCGCCAGGCUGCGGACCCAGGCGUCCUGGCGCUCACACUUUCCCCCUCCCUCCGCCGCCUGCGCUUGAGCCGGAUAAUCCCCAUUAGCGGCCUCGCUAAGCGGCUCCCGGUGGGAUUAAGGCAACCGAGUUAAUGGCCGGAGGGAUUAGCUGCGUUAAUGCGCCCCGAGGUGGCCCGCUGCCCGUGGCACGGCCUUGGUGGGUGGCCCUGGGGUGGCCGAGGGCCCCCGAUACGGUCUUGGGAGGUUCCAACGGGGCCCAGCACCUAUGGCAUAGCCCCAAGGUGGCUCAGGGGUGGCCUGGAGAUGGCCCAGCACCCAUAACACAGCUCCAAGGUGGCUCUGGGGUGGCCUGGAGGUGGCCCAGCACCCAUAACAUAGCCUCAAGGUGGUCUUAGGGUGGUUGAGCACCCACAACGUGGCCCUGGGGUGGUCCAGCAGCCAUGAGGUAACCCCAAGGUGUCCCUGGGGUGGCCUGGAGGUGGCCCAGCACCUAUAACUUAGUCCCAAGGAGGCUCUGGGGUGGCCCAGCACCCACAGUUUAGCUGUGGGGUGGCCCAGCAUCUGUGACAUAGCCCCAGGGUGGCUCUGGGGUGGCCCAGCACCCAUAGCAUAGCCCCAGGGUGGCUCUGUAGUGGUUCAGUACCCACAGCUUACCUGUGGGGUGGCUCUGGGGUGGCCCAGCACCCAUAACAGCCCCAAGGCGGCUGUGGGGUGGCCCAGCACCCACAGUUUAGCUGUGGGAUGGCUCUAGGGUGGCCCAGCAUAGCCCCGGGGUGGCCCCAGAGCUCCUGGCACAGCCCCGAGGUGGCUCUGGGGUGGUCCACCACGUCCAGUUCAGCCCUCGGGUGGCUCCGGGGUGGCCCAGCACCCACAGCACGGGCCUGGGGUGGCUCCGGGACCUGCAGCAGAGCCCUGGGGCCACCCCCAAACCCAUCCCCGCUCCCCCUCGGGU
rnacentral:lncRNA from 1 species